GACAGUCCGGAAACUACAUUUCCCAGAGUGCCUAGCGCGUUGACGCAGGCGCCAAGAGCCUCCUCUGGUUUCCAUGGGAACCUCGCCCCUCAAAGGCCCGGCAGUUCGACUGUGGAGCGCGAAGCUGUCGCUCCCCCUCAGGUGCCCCGGCGUUAGACCAGAUGUGGAAGGUGCAGGACUUCUAGGAGCCACAAAAGCUCCUUUUCCUGGCGAUGCAACCCCAGGUGAGCUGUUACACCACCUUCCUGACAGUCUGUGCUCUCCCUCCUGGAGCCCUGCUCUUUUUCUCCAGUUUGCUCCCACUCCACUGGCUGCAAGUAAGUGCCUGCCAGGGAUAAAGACGAUAGUGGGCCAGACCUGGACGGUGACGCCUCCCUCUGGAACAGCAUCAGAGCCCAUGCUCCCCACUCCUUUCCUGGUGCCCCCAGAGAAAGGGAUGCUCUGCCAGCCCUGCCACAGCCCCUCCAGCCUGUAGGUCAGAGCAGGCGAACUGGUAUCCCCAGGGAAGGCUCUCCAGAUGCCCCAACAACACCAUGUCCCAGGCAGCUGAAGGUUUGGGACUGUAGGGGCACUGGCCUCUGGGUGUCCUGGAUUCCUAAACCAGGAAGGCUUCUGGUCUGAUGCCCUUCUGAUGGGUGAGCAGGAGUAUGGUGGUAGAGAAGCCCACUGAGAAUCCUGUGAGGGCACACGCAAGAUGGAGGUAGUGGGACACAGCAAUAAUCAUCAUGGCAAGACUGACAGUGAGUGCUAAGAGCUGUAUAAACACUAAAUUAAUCCUCACAACAGCCCUUUCCUUCCCCCAAUUUACAGAUGAGUAAACUGAGGCUCAGAGAAUAUCAGCAACGUGUCUACUUGCACAAAACCUAAAAGUGAUGAACCCAGGAUUCAGAUCUAGACAGGCUAGUGCCUAGAAUCCCAUUGUCCACCUCAAUAGACAACCUGAGUCCAAAUCUUGUAACCACUUUGAAUGUUAUGCUCUUCAGUCAUUCAAUAUAUGCUUAAGCCACCGAUAUGUGCCGAGCUUGCCCGCCCUAACUGCUGAUAAAUGCUGGGGAAUGAGAAAGGCCUGGGCCUGCCUACAGGCACCAGUGGCACCUGGUGAACCACUCACAGGUGGGCAAGUAGUGCCCUGCCGACAGCUCAGAGCUGCCUCGCCCCCUUGGUCAUCCCAGCGGAACCACACGUUUGGAUCACAUCAGAGCCUGGCAUGGGCUGUCCCUUUAAUCUGUCCUCUCCGGUGCAGUGGAAGCCCAGGGCAGUGGGGAUUUGUAUCCUGUACUCUGUUCCUGAGCUUAGAAAUGUGUUUCUGAAUUAAAUGAAUUACUGAGCUCUGAGGAUUCCUGCGACUUCAAACCUAACCAGUUGGGUGAGAAGUAGUGGUUGAACUGAAAUUUCCCGACAGAUAAUUAUUUUUAAAGUUUGAAAUGGGCCCUGGCCAGUUCGGUCAGUGGUUAGAGCAUCGGCCCUAGGACUGAAGGGUCGAGGGGUUGAUUCCUGGCACGUAUCUCAGGUUGCAGGUUCCCUGGCCCC